rnacentral:rRNA from 1 species
CAGUCGCCGCGGGAAUACGAACCGCGCGAACGUUAUUCGGAAUCACUGGGCUUAAAGCGCGUGUAGGCGGCCUGGGGCGUCCCAUGUGAAAGGCCACGGCUCAACCGUGGAGGAGCGUGGGAUACGCUCAGGCUAGAGGGUGGGAGAGGGUGGUGGAAUUCCCGGAGUAGCGGUGAAAUGCGCAGAUACCGGGAGGAACGCCGAUGGCGAAGGCAGCCACCUGGUCCACUUCUGACGCUGAGGCGCGAAAGCGUGGGGAGCAAACCGGAUUAGAUACCCCGGUAGUCCCUGUCUCUUAUAC